AGACACCGCCUCCACCACAGUCCUGGCAACUUGUUCCAAAGUGUUUGUCAGCCGAGUUGGUAUUAUUACCAGUGUCAGACGCUGCGCCACGCGACUGCAUUGCCAGCCACGAGGAAGUCUGACAAGAGGACUGACUGAACUCAAUAUAAAGACCAGGGAAGCCUUGAACUCACAGAGAUCCUCCUAACUCUACCUGGCUCCCCUAAUUUCUUUCCAAUAAUGGCUAUGCCAAGCAAGAGGCUAUGAGGCAAAAGGAUAGCUGAAGCAAAAGGAUAGCGGGCAGGACAGACAUCAUAGAGGAGUCACACCAUAGGAAAAUAGAACAAAAAUCACAAGGAUGUGACAUAGUGGAUGGAA
ensembl:processed_transcript